rnacentral:rRNA from 1 species
UUACACAUGCGAAACUCCUAAGCCAGUGUCAAAUCCCUUAGAACUUUUUUAUAAACCUAAGGAGAGGGCAUCAAGCACAUUAAAUAAUAGCUCAAGACGCCUUGCCUAGCCACGCCCCCACGGGACCCAGCAGUGAUAAAAAUUAAGCAAUGAACGAAAGUUUGACUAAGCUAUAUCUCCAUAGGGUUGGUAAAUUUCGUGCCAGCCACCGCGGUCAUACGAUUAACCCGAAUUAAUUAUCCACGGCGUAAAACGUGUCCAUAGAAACAAAAAAAUAGAAUUAAAAAUCAACCAAUAUGUGAAAAUUCAUCGCUGAACUUAAAAACACUAACGAAAGUAAUUCUAACUAACUUAAUACACGAUAGCUAAGACCCAAACUGGGAUUAGAUACCCCACUAUGCUUAGCCUUAAACCCUAAUGAUUUAAUAACAAAAUUAUUUGCCCGAGGACUACUGGCCACAGCUUAAAACUCAAAGGACUUGGCGGUACUUUAUAUCCAUCUAGAGGAGCCUGUUCUAUAAUCGAUAAACCCCGUUAUACCUUACCACUCCUUGCUAAUUCAGCCUAUAUACCGCCAUCUUCAGCAAACCUUAAAAAGAAUAACAGUAAGCAGGAGAAUCACCAUAAAAACGUUAGGUCAAGGUGUAGCCUAUGGAGUGGGAAGUAAUGGGCUACAUUUUCUCAACAAGAACAUUACGAAACCCUUUAUGAAAUCUAAAGGACAAAGGAGGAUUUAGUAGUAAAUUAAGAA